UACGUAGGAGGCGAGCGUUGUCCGGAAUUACUGGGUGUAAAGCGCGUGUAGGCGGCUCGUUAAGUCUGUUGUGAAAGCGCCCGGCUCAACCGGGCAGAGUCGACAGAAACUGGCGGGCUGGAGGUCGGUAGAGGCGAGUGGAAUUCCCGGUGUAGUGGUGAAAUGCGCAGAGAUCGGGAGGAACACCAGUGGCGAAGGCGGCUCGCUGGGCCGGACCUGACGCUGAGACGCGAAGGCGUGGGAGGCGAACGGGA
rnacentral:rRNA from 1 species